CCCCCCUAAGCGCGCGCUCGCGAGCGUAAGAACAAAAAACUGUGUCGGUAUUGAGAAUCCGCAUGUCUCGUAUGUACGGUAUAAUGGGUCAGUGGUUCUUAUGUGUAAAUUAAAUAUUGUAAAAUAUGAAGAAUUGUACGUCACGAGUCAAUUUGUGAGCUUUACGUGUCACACGAGAAGCUUACCGUUUAAAUUAAAUUUUCUAUCGAAAGGCAGAAGCGUAAGUAAAAUUAAAACCGGAAAUCCGCGGAAGACGCAAUUCGAGAAACGAGAGAACCAACGAACCAUUAUCGACAGCCUACAUUCACCUUUCUCUCACACAGUUUUAAGAAUCUCACUAGGUGAAACACACGAAGAUCGAUCGCUGAAUCUCGAAUCACUGCACACAUCGUGUUGCUUGUCGGGCGGAAGUACUCGACGAGCAAACCGGGCGUACGCGAGAAGUGCAAAGAGAGAGAAAGAGAGAAGAGUGAAUCCGAAGGCUGCGAUAAAUAGGUUAGACGGUCGCGGUCAAUGGGUCGCGUACUUUUUAAAGUCCCGCUUUCGUAGAGAGAGGGGGGGGGGGAGGAAAGUGCGAUGGAAAGAUCACUCUUUCUCUCUUUCUCGCGCUUUUUUUUCCUUCUCCGAAUCUCUCGCUCUUGAGGGUAGAAUCUCUUUUUCGGCGACACCUACAUCGUCGCGAUGCGCACACACAAGAAAAGAGUGAAUUUCGGAAAUACGCACGAUGUCGACCGCAUAGUCGGCACGGUUCGAGAGCGACACAGGAAUCCCGCUUCCGAUCGCGCCACGCACGCAGAAGCUCGCGGCAACGUCCGCUCGUACCAGGCGGCGCUUGUGGUUUCCGUUUGAUUCUCUUUUCUAAAAUGGUCGUCUGGAUCCUACAUCUGCGUCCUUGGCACACGGUACCACUCGUUUUAAUUUCCUACUCCUCCCCUUUUUCCGGAAUAACUUAAAUCUUUUCCGUAACAACAGAUUUCUCCUCGUAAUAAAAUUUAAUCGCUAUCGUCACACCGACUCAUCCGAUCCGAGUCCUCUUGUUAUCGGGCCGAGGCUCGACCUAUAUCUUGCGAUUGGAAACGAAACGACGAGUCAGCCUCUGGAAGAGCCACUCGGGCGCGUGCAUCGACUCGAACUUCGUUAAACGAGCUGCGUCGGACCUCUCGUCUUCUUGGAUCCUUCCGGAGCGAAAAAUCUAGGGAACUCGCGCUUUCCCUUUGAACGUUCGAACGCGAGUCCUCGAACGUUCAAAAGGAAAAAUUCGAUUUUACUGUCCCGCUGGCUUUCCGUCGAUGAACGGUGAUAAGAGCAGAGGGCACGCGACGGCCGUCCGAGAACGUCGGGCACCGGACGGACGUCUACGAGUCGAGACCGCCGCGAAACGCGACCGAACCCGUGGGCGAGCUGCGGCGAACGAGGAUGCGCUAGAACGCGCGGCCCGCAUCGCACUCUCGGUUUCCUCCCCACUAUUCGGCGCGAUGGGUCGCAUCCGGUGGUGACGAUGGCGCGCACCCGCGGAGCGCCGCUGCCCGCUGCGAUUGGCAGGCGCCGUUGCUACUCGAGUCGCGAUUGGUCCGCGUGCGCACCGACGGCUUGCCCGCGUUCCGUCUCUCUCUUUGAUUUCUUUCUCUCCGUUGCUCGCCCGCUCUCCCUCUCUCUUUCCUUUCCACGCACGCACACGCACGCACACUGAUAUACGCAGGCGCACGUAUACGUAACAUCCUUUCCAUCAUCGACGGCUACGUAGGCGCGCGUACAUCGUCACGUACGUGCGUGAAGAUGGAUUCACUCUCGCCAGCGCACGAUUCCAUGACGACAGCCGAACAGGAACUGCUGGCAGCGCGCGCGGAACCCGCUACUUAUGCCCCGGGUGGGAAGAAACGGCGGGGCCGAGCCGCGUGGGCCACCUUUAGGCUCCAACUAUCGCGGCCCCGAAGAGCCAAUCGCCGCAGUACGUCGCGAUGCGGCUGACACCGGAAGAUUCGUAUAUACCUGACUACGUGAACACCGCACCGUAGACGAUUCCACGUGGUGCAAUUAAAAUUAGGGAAUAAUGCGAGACACUAUGCAACUUUCUGCGAAAACGGAGUCUCUAUCGAUUUUUCUAUUAUCUCAUAUGUUCGUGAAUAAACGCUACAUUCGGUAUAUAAUAAUAUGAAAUUGAUAUUAAUCUUAUGCGUAUAAUUCAACAAAAUUGAAAUAUUUUACAUGAAAAGAUUUUAGUUCGUCAGUCUUUUUGCGCGCAAAUUUAAUUGCAGCAUUUUUUCAUGAUUAUAUAAUAAAAAGUAACAAUUUUUCGUAUUCUGAUAUAAAAAUUCAUUGUCUUACUAUUGCGCUAUUUCUAUCUAUAUACAAUUAAAAUAGGAGAAGUUAGAAACUGCUGUGUUAGCUAUUUGUUUUUUCCUUUUUGUGUGUGCUGUCAAACUACCGCGAAACACUACCAUUUACGGUAAAGGCGGCAGCCGAACCUUUGACCCAUUUUUCUAUCGAUCUCGCUUGGUUCCGCAUCUAGGGCGUCUCGAUGGUCCCGGUCCUCCCGGCCGUCGAGAUUUCCGCCACUCCCUGGACGAUCCUUGUGCUAACCUCGCGCUCUAUCAUGUCUGUACUUAGCAACAUCCCAUUCCAACAAUUAGUAAAUAAAUAAAUGACACCAGUGUCAGUAACGUCCGUAAUAAAUAAUAAUUAUUAAAAAUUUAUGACACUUUAUCCAAGUCUAUUUCUCAAGACUUAAAACUUAACUACAUUGAAGAUGCGGAUGAUAAAAUUACAAUGUACGUGAUAAAAAUACAUAGUAUCGGAAUAACUUGGAUACCCUAUAUCACUACCUGCGAUGCGACACUUGCGGAUUAAUUGCCAGACAGCAGAAAAAUCCAAGAGACAUCGCAAAGAUGCGUGAAAGACGUAAAGACGUUCUUUCGACAGCUUUGCGAUGUCUUUUUAGAUUUUUCUGCUGUCCGGGUUGCAUCAUGCGGAAUUUAGGUUUUCGUUAUCAGUCGUGUUUCGACAAUGCGCGUUUCACCGGGGCGGCGAAAAGAAAAGAAUGCUUCAUUAUCGUUGCAUUACAUAACGUUCGACAAUCAUUGAGCAUCGAAUCAAUGAUGAUCAAGUUUGAUUAAAAUGUGAGCGAUAUAAAUCGAAAACUGCCGCUUAUUUUUGCAUCAUACAGUCAUUAGAUAACUUACAAAAUUUAUAUACGUGCAUGUAUGAGAGAUUUAUGUGUGUGUAUAUAAAUUUAAAAUAUAUUCACACAUUCGCGGCUUUAAAUAUAUGCGUGUGUCACGAGAUAAAAUUUCACAAAACUUGCGGGGAACAAAUAAAGCUUUUGUACAUGCAAACAUGAUGCAUGAUAAUUAAUUGCGUGUCGUUAACCAGAUACGUUAAGCACGGUAUUGAUGCGACCGUAGAAAGAGUUAAACGUGAGGUCGUCUGGUCGCAAUAGCGUUCAGUCGAUUAACCAGUGCGCCAUGACGCGGCGCGGGGAAGACCCGGAGGAGAGGAGAAGGGAAGGGUCAGGCCGCUCCGUAAAACGUCGGGACACUCGGCACGCCGGCCGUCCUAUUUCUGCUCUCGGGAAAGUUCGUGCGCCGGGGCGAUCGCGCACGAAGCGACGGAGAUAUAAGUAGGUCGUUCGUAGCCGCACGUGUCGUCCUUGACUCACAUAGAGCGGCGCGCAGGCGCUCGCCGUUGCCGCAUUGCUGGUCGCUAGGGCUCUUUCUUUGUUCGCCUUUGCGGUCAUGUGUGUGCGUGUGUGCUCGUGCUUGAAUCUGGGCAUUUGUGUGCGCGCGCGCUCGCAGACGGGAGCUUCUCGUUGCUUGAUGGAUGCGCGUGCGCGUACGCAUACAGGGUGUCUCGGGAGAACGUUCGGCGCAGUGAAAGCUGCCGCCUUCUUUUGAGCCGCUCUGUAUUCGACGGAUUCGAUCGAACGCUCGUAAGAAAUUCACGGAAAGGUCCAUUCCGAGACUCGUAACGCCGCCGGAUCUUUUCGUAGAUUCCAUUUUUAUCCACGAAGUAUUUGUUUUCCUCUUUCCGUCUUCCUUCUUUUGAAGUCUCGUUAAAAUUUCGCUUUUUAUAAUUCUUUUGCGUAAUUUACGCAUAAUGAAUUCUCGCGCGCGUGCGCGCGCGAAUGCACGUGGACGAUAAUCGACGGAAAGAGAAAGGUUAUCGGAGGGGAACAGAGUUUUAUUUCCUCUUCCUCGGGAGAAGGCGGACUGAUAUACCGGGCUAUGUAUGAUAUAAUGCGUCAUGGACACGAUGGAGAGUUAUGCAUGCUCUUCAUGUGUUCAAGCAUUUAUAGCUCAUGAACUAUUGGUUACUCGAUAUUAUUGCGGAAAAGUUAGCCAUAAUUGGGUCUAUAAGAUAGAUUAGACGCGGCCUUUAAAUUUUGCGGCAUUCUACAGUCAAGACUUUGCGAGGGCAAUUCACUAUGGUUGUCAAGGACACUCGUAUCACGAAGACCUGGGUACGGAGUCAGUAGUCUGGGUUGGCUUUGGCAUUACAGCGUUAGUAUUGAUCGCAGCAGGAACUCAAAGGGGAGGCCACCACGUUGGGCUAUUCGAACCCCAAUUGGAUCGCCCUACCUCGUGUAGCAGACAACCGUGUAGAAGAGAACGUAAGCGCGCGGCCUAUUUCUUAAUACAUCGUACACGCAGAAAGAGAGAUGCAGAGAAAGGGAGAAAUGGGAUGUCUAUAUAUGUGUGACAUGUGAAAUAUUCAAAAAAGAGAAAGUUUUAAGAGAAUAAAAAAACAGCUUUCAUAUUUUUUGACGUAUGAUAAUAGCAUGAAGUUUUUAUUUUAUUUUUAAUUCGGUAAACGAGCUGACAAGAAUGUACGUUAACUUGAAGUCAUUAUCGAUAUUAAAAACUAGAUGUUAUGUAGUAAAAUUGCAUACGUGCAAUCAAUUAAUAACUACAUAUUAAUAAAUUGUUUGGGCGUAUUAUGAUACGUCGAUACGGACUUUGUAUAGCCGUUAAUCAAGCAAGGGGGAGCCAUGCAACCAGCCACGACGACCAUGAAUCUCACGAUUUAUAGCGUUCACUUCCUAGACAAACAGGUGCGCAUAAACACCGUGGGAAUUUUAUGAAUCGUGAUCAGGAACUGAAUUAAAAUAGUUGAUUGCUUUUUGGUAUAAUCUAUUUACGAAUUUACGAAAAUAUUUUCGUCGUAAUUGUUAAUACUGGUUUUAUGUAACAUCGAAUAAAAUUGAGAGAGAUGUUCUGCAUAUAAAUAAUAUUCGUGCGGAUAUUAUUCUAGAAUAUAUACACAAAAAGAAUGAAAGCUGGAUUAAUCUCAAACGAGGAAAUAUCAGCAUAAAUUUGAAUAAACGAAAGUUGGUAAAUGGAAUAAAAAUAAACAAAAAAAGAGUGAUUUUUAAAGUCUAAAGAGUGACUUUUGAAGCCAUGUACCUCAAAAGGCGAACUGAUGGCAGGUGGGUAGUAAUUUUCUCUGCAGGAUGUUUUUCGAUGCGCGAAGGAUAGCGCACAAUGAAGAUAAAUCUCCAGCUAUGCCGCUAAUUAUGCAACACGUAUAUUACGUCCCGCGAUUCGAUCUCUGUAUUCAACUCAAUUGCCCGUUUCUCCUUGAUAUUUCUCUCCUUGGUGCUGUACAGUUCCUCUCCUAUCUUCGGAUCAUUGCAAAUUUACGUGCGUAUCUUAUUCUCUCUGCUCCACCGUUAAAAAUACCGAUGAAAUUAUUAAACCCGGGACUUUAUUUAUCAAUUUCCAAUUACAUACUGAGGAUGCGAGACUAAUUUGUGUCAUUAAAUAUUUCACGUAAUCUUAUUACAAUUUGUCAAAUUUAUUUUCAAAGUUAUCAAAUCUUAUAUAAUUAUCAAAUUAUUAUGACUCAUAAAAUUAUUCGUACAGCAAAUUGGAUUUUGUCUCGUCGAAAAUCGUAACCAUUACGAUUUCAUACUUUGGCACGCGGUUGCCCGCAUGGCGACGUUCUUCAGAUAAGCACGUUCUUAUCUACAUGCGUGCUUACGUAAGCAACAACUCGUAUAAACCCUCGCUCAACUCCACCGCUCCUCUCUGCUGCCUUAUCCCUUCCUUUCGCUCCGUAUUCUUUCGUUCCUUAUCGGCAACGUGUUCUUCCUCGCGGAAUGCUGUAAUCGGAAUGCCCGACUCGCAAUGUCGUCGCGAUUUCGCAACGCAAGAUAUUUCUCAAAUCCAUUCCAAAUCGACGGGUUUUUUAUCUACAAAUCGUUUGACCGAAUCGAUCAAAUUCUUGUUUUAAGAUUAAAGUAUGUAUAAGUAUAACAUUUUAUGCAGUACAUACAAAGAUAAUUCUCUCUUCUUAAUUAUCAUUUUCUUUGACAAUUUUUUCAUACAGAGAACGAAUUAAUUAUUUCUGAAAGCAAGUGUACCUAAUUAAUUUUGCUCGAUAUCUCGUUCAAUUUGCAUAGAAAAUACGCGUCUUUCCGCGCCUAUGUGCCUUCGUACAACGUACCUACCACGUGUCCUACCUCGCGUGACUAAGGUACUUGGAGCACGUGGCCCCCCACUUUCUUGAACUCAGAUACAAGCGUAAGAGAAAUAGAGGAAAUUUAGAGAGUGCGAAAGAAACGAAAAAGAAAAGUAGCAAUGGCGAAAAAAUCGAUCCAAUGAAGAAAGAAUAGUGACAAAUAAAAAGUACGCGGUAAUACGAGAAGGAUGGAAGAAAUAUGGUAAGGAGAGGGGGUAAAUAGAAAAAGAGAGAGUGAUGAAUAGAUAAAGCAAGAGUGGAAUCGAUGUUGGUGAGAAUAGAGAGGUCGACGGGAUCGUGACAAGGAGAGAAGCAAGGAAUGGAGGGGUCAGAAUUGAAAGUGACAGAAGAGAAGGGAGAGAAAUAGAAAGAAACGGGGCUAUAGAAUGGGCGAACGGUAGAAACAGUGAAAAGAGACAUGUUUAGGAAUCAUGGUGGGACCGGGGGAAAACGAGAAAGAGAAAGAAAGAAGAGGGAGCAACGGUGAGAAGACGAAAGAAAAUGAAGGGAGGGGGCCAAGCUCCUAGUGGGGUCGAUAGUUGGCCAAGUUGCUGAGAGGGCCGGUUGUGUAACAAAGGAGUGAACCGAAUAACGAGAAUCCCUGGGGUGCACUCAUCGGCUUCCCCGAAUGAGAUGAUAACUCCUCAUGAUAAAUUCAUUAUUAAUAUAAUCAAACUAUAAAUACGUGCGUAACUCGAGAAGGACCAAUCUGUAAAUCUAAUCUUGAAUUUCUGAUAGCAUGUCAUCAAUCGUUUCAUCCCUCGAUUCUUUAGCAAGUAGAUUAUAAUGCUUGUUUAUAAGAACCGAUCUAUCCUUGAAAGAUCGUCACAGAAAAUCGAUUAGAGUAUCAAGUGUUGUAAUAUCCAAGUAUUAUGUUCAAAAUUUUCACAAGACCAAUGCUGGGUAAUCAGCCAGAUACACUUGAUGCUGAUGUGAGAUAAAUAGGUAUGACUAGUUCCUAUUAAUAGCAAACUGUUUAUACGAUUUUGGUACGCGCAGCCAAAGUAUAUUGAAUUAAGCAUCUCCCAUGUAGUAAAUUAUAUUCUGAAUUAUUAUGGACAUAACAAAAAUUAUCUUUUUUAUUUUAUUACAGAGAAACAUAUUGAAUGCAGCUGCGAAUACAGAAUUUUAUUUUUAAGCAUCGGCAUGUAGUAAUUUUUUUUCCACGGUAUAUUCAGUAAUCAACUUGUAUAUUAAUACACACACGUAUAUUCCAAGUUAAAAUUAUGAAGAACAAACAAUAUAAAUUAUUUUCUAGUAUGUCGAUGUAUGCAGUGCGUGUACAAUAACUAUUAUCAUUAAUGUUAUGAUAAACAUAGCAACAAGGGAAACAUUAUCGAACAGUCCGCUGGACUACAUUACUGUAUUUGAAGUUCCCCUAAAGACCUGCUAGCUUCUCUAUGAUGUUGCUGUGAUAUAAAUACAUUUAUUUUUCUACAUGUCGACAAAGAAGUUUCAGCAGAAAUGAAUGAGUAUGCCCGCGGGAUGAUGAGAGCGAAGGGAAUCAAAUAAAAUCUGGUAAAAGGGGCAUCGACCUUUCGGCACGUGUCCCACGCCACAUGCUACAUUCGAUGAACCAAACAGUCGCAGCUUUUCUAGGGUAUCAGCAACUUCACCAAUAAAAAUCUGAAAUAACGCCGCGACUGAUCGACCCGUACUGUCAAGCUCGUAUCCUACCGUUUCGUUUUCCCUCAUCCCAUCAAUGUGUGCGAAGACGAGGACGCGAUGACUGUGACGAGCCUGCGGAGUAUUGAUCAAACGGUAUUCUAGCCUCGCGUCUCUAUAUCGCGUCGGGGCACAACACAAUGCACCAGAGCAAGAAGACGGAUGACAAAGAAUUCGAAGGGCGUUACAUGUGUGGCAAGCAAGGCCGAAUAAACGGAAUUACAGGUGAAAUGGUUUUCAAUUGCAAAACUUUUCCCUUUCAUGCAGCAUAUUUAUAAAUUCAAUAAUUAGUCUGAUCCGAUAAAACGCUAAUAAAAUAUCAUCGGAAUAUCGGAA